GACGAACGCUGGCGGCGUGCUUAACACAUGCAAGUCGAGCGGUAAGGCUCCUUCGGGAGUACACGAGCGGCGAACGGGUGAGUAACACGUGAGCAAUCUGCCCUUCACUUUGGGAUAACUCCGGGAAACCGGUGCUAAUACCGAAUACGACCACCUCAGGCAUCUGAUGGUGGUGGAAAGCUCCGGCGGUGAAGGAUGAGCUCGCGGCCUAUCAGCUUGUUGGUGGGGUAAUAGCCCACCAAGGCAACGACGGGUAGCCGGCCUGAGAGGGUGACCGGCCACACUGGGACUGAGACACGGGCCCAGACUCCUACGGGAGGCAGCAGUGGGGAAUAUU
rnacentral:rRNA from 1 species